rnacentral:rRNA from 1 species
GACGAACGCUGGCGGCGUGCUUAACACAUGCAAGUCGAACGGAAAGGCCCUGCUCUUGUGGGGUGCUCGAGUGGCGAACGGGUGUGUAACACGUGAGUAACCUGCCCUUGACUUUGGGAUAACUUCAGGAAACUGCGGCUAAUACCGGAUAGGAGCUCCUGCUGCAUGGUGGGGGUUGGAAAGUUUCGGCGGUUGGGGAUGGACUCGCGGCUUAUCAGCUUGUUGGUGGGGUAGUGGCUUACCAAGGCUUUGACGGGUAGCCGGCCUGAGAGGGUGACCGGCCACAUUGGGACUGAGGUACGGCCCAGAAUCCUACGGGAGGCAGCAGUGGGGAAUAUUGCACAAUGGGCGGAAGCCUGAUGCAGCAACGCCGCGUGCGGGAUGACGGCCUUCGGGUUGUAAACCGCUUUCGCCUGUGACGAAGCGUGAGUGACGGUAAUGGGUAAAGAAGCACCGGCUAACUACGUG